CCAGGUGAGUCUGGGAUGGGGUUGUCUGCAUGUGGUAGUUUUUAGAAAGUAGAAUCGGUGAAGCUUACAUACUGGCUGUGAUGGACAUUGGAAAAAGCCUCUGAAUACUGGGAACAAGGCACCAGGAGGAGGAUGAGAUUUGUUUCAGGACUGGGUGGGGAACACAGCAGGGGAUGUCUCUGUGUAUAAGACAUGCAGAUCCAAAGCUUGGAUGGGAGAGAGAAAGAACACCAGAUCUGCAGGCCACAGGGAGUCUAGGAGGUGCUGUGUUACUAUCCCAAGCGGUGUCGAAUGGCUCUUGGAAGCUCGGAUUGGGCUGCAGGGCUGUUUGGACAGUCAAGCCUACAUGAAUUAUUAGAUCAGAGAUGAUAUAUACAUACUUCAUAACACAACCUCAUUGGAGUAUUUAUUUGCUGUGUCUCCUGAUUCAUCCCAAGUAAUGAUUGAGUAAAAUUCUGUUUUGACAUUUAGAGGUGAUCUGCUUACCUGCG